rnacentral:ncRNA from 1 species
UUACGCUUGCGCGCUGAUGGUUCCCGACAACGGGAUUAAAAGGGAACGCAGGGAGGCCAUGCCUCGAAUCUGCGGCUGCCCCCGCAACUGUAAGCGGCGAAUCCGCGCCACCGCACGCCACUGGGAUACCGGGAAGGCAGGCGCGCAUAACGACCCGCGAGCCAGGAGACCUGCCAUCGACCCGAGGUCCAA